rnacentral:lncRNA from 1 species
CUCCGCAGCCCGGGUCAACCAGCCGACGGUGGCGGAACGGCGGGCAGGUCGGCGGAGUUAGAUGGCCGCAAAGUCUUCCUCUGUUGCCCAGGCUGGAGUGCAGUGGUGAGAUCUCGGGGAAAAACGUGGCCGGCCGGAGUCCUCCCACAGACGACAGUGCCUUCCCGGCAGCAUCUCCGCCGGGCCCAAGAGGGUCGUGGAGUCGCUGGCUUCCUCCCAGGGUGCGUGUCGCGCCCACGCGGGGCACCCCAAAGCGGCAAGAAGGCCUUUGUGAGAAGGGAACAGGAUGCCAGGUUUGAAAGAAGACCUUGAGGCGGCAUGGGGCAAAACGCGGCCGGCCGGAGUCCUCCCACGGACGACAGUGCCUUCCCGGCAGCGCCUGCGCUGGGCCUGGGAGUGUCGUGCAGUCCCUGGCUUCCUCCCAGGGUGCGUGUCACGCCCACGGGGGGCACCCCAAAGCGUCAAGAAGGCCUCCGGGGGAAGGAAACAUGACGCCAGGCUUGAAAGGGGACGUUGAGGCUGCAAGG